GCCGGGUGAGGGGGCACAUGCCUGUAAUCCCAGUAGUUCUGGAGGCUGAGACAGGAGAAUCACGGAUUCAAAGCCAGCCUCAGCAACAGCAAGGCACUAAGCAACUCAGUGAGACCCUGUCUCUA
rnacentral:sRNA from 1 species